GUCCACGCCAUAAACGAUGGAUACUAGCUGUUGGAAGCAAUUUCAGUGGCUAAGCGAAAGUGAUAAGUAUCCCACCUGGGAGUACGUUCGCAAGAAUGAAACUCAAAGGAAUUGACGGGGCCCGCACAAGCGGUGGAGCAUGUGGUUUAAUUCGAUGAUACGCGAGGAACCUUACCAAGGCUUAAAUGUAGAUUGACCGGUUUGGAAACAGAUCUUUCGCAAGACAAUUUACAAGGUGCUGCAUGGUUGUCGU
rnacentral:rRNA from 1 species